rnacentral:lncRNA from 1 species
GGGACCAAAAUCAAGGGGUUUGUACCAAAGUCAAGGGGUUUGGUACCAAAAUGAAACAGUUUGGUAUCAAAAUCAAGGGAUUUGGUACCAAAAUCAAGAGGGCUCUUACCAAAAUCAAUAGAUUUGGAAUCAGAAUCAAGGGGUUUGUACCAAAAUCAAGGGGUUUGGUACCAAAAUCAAGGGAUUUGGUACCAAAAUCAAGGGGGUUGGGACCAAAAUCAAGGGGGGUUGGCACAAAAAUCAAGGGAUUUGGUACCAAAAUCAAGAGGGCUCUUACCAAAGUCAAUAGAUUUGGAAUCAGAAUCAAGGGAUUUGGUACCAAAAUCAAGAGGGCUCUUACCAAAAUCAAUAGAUUUGGAAUCAGAAUCAAGGGGUUUGUACCAAGAUCAAGGGGUUUGGUAUCAAAAUCAAGGGAUUUGGUACCACAAUCAAGGGGGUUGGGACCAAAAUCAAGGGGGUUGGGACCAAAAUCAAGAGGGCUCGUACCAAAAUCAACAGGUUUGGAAUCAGAAUCAAGGGGUUUGGCACCAAAAUCAGGGGGUUUGGCACCAAACCCAAGCGAUAUGAUAUCAAAAUCAAAUGAUAUGAUACCAAAAUCAAGGGGUUUGGUACCAAAAUCAAGGGGGUUGGUAUCAAAAUCAAGGGGGUUGGGACCAAAAUUAAGGGGGUUUGUACCAAAAUCAACAGGUUUGGAAUCAGAAUCAAGGAGUUUAGUACCAAAAACAGGGGGUUUGGCACAAAAAUCAAGGGAUUUGGGACCNUCAAGGGGUUUGGGACCAAAAUCAAGGGGUUUGUACCAAAGUCAAGGGGUUUGGUACCAAAAUGAAACAGUUUGGUAUCAAAAUCAGGGGGUCUGGUACCAAAAUCAAGGGGGGUUGGCACAAAAAUCAAGGGAUUUGGUACCAAAAUCAAGGGGUUUGUACCAAAAUCAGGGGGUUUGGUACCAAAAUCAGAGGGUUUAUACCAAAAUCAGGUGGUUUGGUAUCAAAAUAAGGGGGGGAGUUGAACUAAAAUUAAGGGGAUUUGGUACCAAAAUCAAGGGGUUUGGUCCCAAAAUCCAGGGGUUUGAUACCAAAAUUAGGGGGUUUGUUACCAAAAAUCAGGUGUGGGGUUUUUUUAACCAAAAUUAGUGGGUUUGGUAGCAAAGUGAGAGGGUUUGUCCCAAAAUGAAGGCCUUGGGGAUCCAAAGGAAGGGGAUUUUUAUCAAAAUGAGGGGGUUUGGUCCCAAAAUCAAGGGGUUUGGUCCCAAAAUCCAGGGGUUUGAUACCAAAAUCAGGGGGUUUGUUACCAAAAAUCGGGUGUUUUUUUUUUUUUUAACCAAAAUUAGUGGGUUUGGUACCAAAGUGAGGGGGGUCUCUCUCAAAAUGGGGACAAAUGAAGGGGAUUUUUAC